rnacentral:rRNA from 1 species
GAUGAACGCUGGCGGCGUGCCUAAUACAUGCAAGUCGAGCGAACAGACGAGGAGCUUGCUCCUCUGACGUUAGCGGCGGACGGGUGAGUAACACGUGGAUAACCUACCUAUAAGACUGGGAUAACUUCGGGAAACCGGAGCUAAUACCGGAUAAUAUAUUGAACCGCAUGGUUCAAUAGUGAAAGACGGUUUUGCUGUCACUUAUAGAUGGAUCCGCGCCGCAUUAGCUAGUUGGUAAGGUAACGGCUUACCAAGGCAACGAUGCGUAGCCGACCUGAGAGGGGGAUCGGCCAACCUGGAACUGGACCCCGGGCCAGACCCCUACGGGGGGCAGCAGUAGGGAAUCUUCCGCAAUGGGCGAAAGCCUGCCGGGGCAACGCCGCGUGGGUGAUGAAGGUCUUCGGAUCGUAAAACUCUGUUUUUGGGGAAAAAAAAAUGUGUAAGUAACUAUGCCGGUUUUGACGGGCCCUAACCAAAAAGCCCCGGCUAACUACGU